GACAGAGGUGCCGAGCGUUAGGCGGAAUCACUGGGCUUAAAGCGUGUGUAGGCGGAUCUGUAAGUACCUUGUGAAAUCCCACGGCUCAACCGUGGAACUGCUUGGUAUACUGCGGAUCUUGAGCCACCUAGGGGCGAGCGGAACGAAGUGGUGGAGCGGUGAAAUGCGUAGAUAUCACUUGGAACGCCAAUGGUGAAAACAGCUCGCUGGGGUGUGCUGACGCUGAGACACGAAAGCCAGGGAGCAAACGGG
rnacentral:rRNA from 1 species